GCAGAUGGUUCAUCAUAUAUUUUUAAACAAUGGGACCAAUUUAUUAGAAUAACCAAAAUUCUUCAAAUGAUAUGAUCUUUCUCAUAAACAUUUCUUUACAUUCUUUUUUAUUUGCUCAUAUGCUUGUGCCGAUAAUGAUACAGUUAACCUAUGGUCUGUUUGUUACUUGAUGUUGCUCUUCAUGCCUUUUGAGUUGUUAAGCUUAUUGACAGAAGGAUACAAAUCUCAACAGCACUGUCUUAUGGCUGUCUUUCUGGUUCUUUUUUCUAGAGUUGUGCAUGAGUGUCACAAUAAAUUAAGUAUCAACUGAAUUUACAACAUUGCUGUAGAGUGCAUUUUUCAUGUAAGCAGUUUUGUUGGCCCAAAUGUCAGGUGAAUUGUUGUGUGAAAACCUCAGCUUGUGAAGGACUAGUGGUGUUGCUGUAUCAGAAGCUUCCAUUCUGACUACAUCUGCUUGGGACUAGAUGUAACAAGACUGACACAUCAUGCUUAAAAUGAAGGUGUAAAAGGGACAAGAUAUUCCUUUUUUCAACAGAUGAAGACAAUUGAGAGGAACUGGCAAUGAUUACAUUAGAGCAAGUUCAUCUGCAUUUUAGUCCUAGUAAGUGUAAUGGAAGGAAAAAAUCAGUCUGAAGAAAGGAACAUCGGACAGAAGACAGCAUAUAUUUCCACCUCACUGAAAUAAAGGAAUAUGGAAAUCACAUGUAACAGACCAUUUAGUGUGGGAUUGCCUGAGGAAAGCACUACUCUUCAGCCUUAUUUAAAAGGACAUUUUUAUUAUAAAGAGCAUCAAAGGUAAAUGUUCUGGUACACUUUUUAAUCUGAUUGUUUGUUUAAUCAAGUCUUUCCCCUAUCACCUCUUCAAAAGAAGCUUGGCAUUUCAGCUCCAUUUCAAUAAUUAUAUGUAAGUUAAGAAAACAGUAAUGGCUAACUUGCACCACACCAAAAUGUUCAUCUUGCUCCAGUUUUGCAUCUCUGGAAAAAGUCACUAUCGAGUUUGUGAACGUAGGAUGAGAACAGACUGAAACUUUCCCUGCAGCUUUUGGCAACCCAGGACUUCUUAUGCUAGAUAUAAAGUUUGCAUAGGUCUUGACAGAUCUACUUGAUAGGUAGUCUUUGGUGGAUAUUUGGUGGAAAUUUUUUCCAUGAAUUUGUUCAGAUCUUUUAUGAGGACUUACAAUACUUAGGACUGCUAAAAUGUCCAGUGGCAAUGAGUUCCAUAUUCUAGUUGCAGCUUAUAUAACAAAGCAUCACUUUCUGUUUUAAUUCUGCUGCCUUUGAAUUGAAUCUCCCGUCUUUUGUGUUCUAAGAAACAAUGAAUUCCUGGUCAUCUUCUUCAUUUGAUACAUAUAUUUGAGACAAAGUGUAUAUGUAUGUAUAUCCAAACCAGCUUCAAUAAUGUUAUCUGGUUUAAAAAAACCCCAACCAACAACCCCCAAAACAACCCUCUACUGAAUUUCUGCAAGGAGGCCAAUUUUAUAAUUACUGUGGUGUUAAAUUAGCUAGCAAUUUACUUGUAAAACCCCAUCAAAUUCAAUUUUAUCUAUGGAAAAUAGAUGCUGUAAUUUGGGAAAGAUUCUGUUUUUCUCACAUCUGUGUGAGGCUGAAUCUAUUGAGUGAGUGCUUUAACUGCAAAACUGAUAGUUAACUGCAAGCGAUAUGUCCGUAAUUCUACUUGAUUGAUAAAGUCAUAAAUUUAUAAUGUCUCUACUUUAGCUAAAUAACAUAAAAUUCAAUAUAUUCAUGAGAAAUAUGGAAUUUAAAUUAUUCAAUCAAUGCAUCUGCCCUACACCUCACUUCCCUUGUGCACAUGUGAGACAGAGAUAAAAUGCAGCUCUACUGGAUUAAUUAGAUUAUAUUGCUUUUCUUGUCUCCUUGAAAAAGCAGGUUCUACCAGUUGGUGUCUUUUUAACCACUUCCUAGACUGUCCAUAGAAGAAAUAUUCUGGCAUGGGGAGGUACCUUUAGGAUAUCUCGGCUGUGAUAAAUCUGCCUGGUCAUGGAGUUCUGGAGUAUUGCUCCACAUUUGGCCUGUCAUUUAAGACUGAUCUGCAUCCAGCCCAUGUAUUCUUUGAAAGUUGCUGGUGAAAGGAAGGAUAAAUUUUCCAGCCAGCUGCAGCUACAUAAAGAGGUGAUCAAUGGAGGCAGCAGAGGUGCAGCUGAGGUUUUCAUGUUUUACCUGAAGCAGAGCAGGCCAAGUGCAAAGACGGCUUACAACAAUAGCUUUGCAAAGACUAAGUUUCCCCUACUCAGUUCAAUUAGGGUAGUGACUUUAAAGCCUGUUAUUCAUAUGACCAAAUAGCCAUUUUUCUGCUAAUCAGAGCAUUCAAAGAGAAAAGAAAUUAUGGUGGCUGACGAUUUGCAUUUAAAAUGUGUAUGGAAGAAAUAAUUUAAUUGCUUGGUAGAGAUGUGAAAAAAUUGUGAAGUGUUUUUUGGUGUCUGUGGUUGACAAAGCGUGUGUUUGUGAGGUCUCAGAAAGCAACUGCCAUGUUUUUUUCCAUAAAGCACUACAUAAUUUCUGCAAUAAGUAAGUGUUGUGUUGGGAAGAAUAACAUGGCUUUUCUGAUGUGAGAUUUUGGUUCCAUAAACCUGAAGUUUGAGAACUAUGAACUACCACUCUUUCUAUUUAUCUACUAGUCUUCUCCUUCACAAUCAAGUAAAUGAAGCCUGAAGUGUUCUGUGUUUUAAAAGUGCAUUCUGGUGAUAAGUAGUUUGAGCAUGACUCAUCAAAGGGACUGUGGAUGGGAGACAGUGAGGGAGAUUAUGAAACUUCAGACUGUAUGACAGAUGCAGAGCCCAUUUAACUCUACAAUCCAGAAUUCUUGUUUUAGAAGAUGAGAGUUUUGUUUUUUUUUUUUUUCCUGAUUAAUUAGAUGAGAUUGAGCCACUUAAAAACACUAAAUUUGAGCGUUUAUUUUUUAAAACUCCCUGAAAGAAAUAUUAGUUGACCAACUUCCUUGGUAAACAAAUGGUCUUCACCUUAAUUCUGAUUGAAAAUAGAAAUUUAAAGAUCUGUCAUAAAAUUUAAACUCUGCUAACAUGCACAGUUAGGACUUCACCUUCUAUAGAGGAGCCUAAGGUUUUACAUUAAAAUAAUGUACUACAGGUAGAUAAACAGGAUAAAACUACGUAGAGCAAAACAAAAGACACCACUGAAAUUCAAACCAGUAAACAUAAAGCACCAAGAAUAAUUGCUAUGUUUGCAAAACACAGAUAAGAUAUGCUUAUAUCUUACAAGUUUUAUCUCAAUUAAAGUGAACAUUGAAAUGCCUAAGUUUCUAUCUGUUAGUACCCGAGGUCCUUAAUUUCCAUAAUAUUUAAAAAAUUACAUAAUUUCUUAGGAAAUUAAAUGAGUUCAGGAGGCAUAAUCCAACAGGGUGAAAUAAGGCAGUUUCUAAGUAGUCCUGAAGGUAAUGGACACUGGGAAUUGAAUAAUGUUUUCAGUCGAUGUGUCAUUGACCAGUUUUCAUGAAAAGCAGUAAAAACAGCAGUAAACUAAUUAAAAUACAGAAUGGGGAAAAACAUUUGCUUGAUACAUCUAUAAUUACUUUCAGGAUGCACAGUUUUCCUAUGCUGGAAUCAAAUAUUCAGAGAACAAUAAAAAAGUCUAUUUUGAAUCUUAUAAUAAAUAUGGCAUUUUAAAAAUUAAAUACAAAAUUGAUUCUGAAAUAGCCCUUUCUCUCUUCUCCCUUUCCACAGACUUUUAAUGAGAAAGGAAUUGCUUCCUUUCUUUUAAUUUGAAAUAAGUAGUUUUAAGUAGUUUUUAUUUUUUUUUUUUUUGUUUGUUUUUUUUUUUUUUGUUUGGUCAGUGAUAAGAAUCAUUUGAACUUUGGUUUUAUUGAUUUGUAACUUCCAAUAAGUGAGAACUGGCAUGGUUACACUGUGCUAUUAGAUGACAUGUAUUUAUAUUUUCCUGUGUAAAUCCCCAAAGGUAGAGAUGAAGGGCUGCAUUUGUAUGUGUCUUUCAGUGUGUAAUUUCCAAAUCUCUCUUGAGAGUCUCCUUUAAAAUUUGUCAACGUGGUAAUCUUGUUGUGAGAGUAAAAGCAAAGAUUGUACAGGGACAUAUGUUCUCUGCUGGACCAUUCCACACUGCUGGAGUAUAUCUGUUCAAUUUAAUUUAAUUCAAUUCACCUUUGAAAAACACAUCCAAUAGAAAAAGAUACAUUAUUGAAAAAGGUACAUUGCAGAGAAUGCUUCUAGUUGAGAUUUAUUUCUAGAAACUUGUUUUAAACUGGAGUUCCCUCCCCUUUUUUUUUCUGUAGGCUUUCACUGCAAAUUUUCUGUGAACUCAUACAGGAGAUGCCAGAUGUUUAGAAAUAUUAAUAUUGCAAAGGCAUGCAACUCUCCUGCUGUGGCACAAAGUCACACAGAGAAAAAAAAAACAAUGAACAGUGCAACUAAAACCUUUAGGUUCAUUUAAGUUUAAUAAGCUCACAAUUUGUAGAUAUUAUAAAAGAAGUGCCACAAGUGUUUUAUUGGUGAUUUUUUCAUGUCUAGAACUAUUUUGAAGUUGUAAGUUUUAAUGCAUUGAGCUAGGCUACUCACGUGAGUCUUACUAAAGCCAAUGGAGCUGCUUAUGGUAAGAAAGUAAUGUUCAUGUUGAUGGAUAUGGCUCAACAUGUAGGUCUGUAUCUAUAUUCAUACUGCAGGAAUCAGAAAUUCAUGUUUCUGGUGCCAAACUGGAUAGUUCUUGAGGUAUCAUUCACCAGUGCUACAAGAUCGUCAAUCUUCAGAAAAGAAUCGGUGAUCAGAAGGACUAAAAUAUUUUGUAUUCACAAUCUAGACUGUGACAUAUUCAAGAGAAUACUGAUGCUCUUACAUACAGGAGUAGUCCAUUUUGUAUAGAAUUAGUCUAACUUUCAGUAACAGCUAUUGGAUUAGCCCCAAAUUUGGAAAAUACUGACUUCCCCCAUACCUGUUUGUACCUGUUGAGGAGUAUAGAUUAUAAUUUAACUUUUAUGAGAUUUCAUUUUCUGGAAAUAAAUACUGAAGCAAAAAAUGCCUAUUUUUUCCUGCUUUUACUAUGAUUUCCUGAAGAAAUUUUUCUUGCUUCUACUCUUCGACUUUCUGAGCAUGCUGAGGUUAGUAAUUAUAGAAUUGCUAAUGGAGUUUUCCUGAACUUGAGAAUUCUGGUUUUCAAAAACAUCAGUAAAAUCUGGAUUCAUUCUAAAUCAAAACCAAAAGACCAAAACAUCUCACAAGCAACACACGCUAAGAAACAUUGUUUUGCUAUAAUUGAAACAAGUAUUUCUGUGCUGAAAUGAUAUUUCCUGAGGUUGUGCUUGCCUGAGACUGCUGUUCAUGUUUUCCUAAAGAAGCCAUAGGGCUUUCUAGCUUUCAUGUUAUUAUAUUGGAACUGCUGGGCGUUCUCAUUCAUGAUGCAGACCACAGAGUUUAGGGUCCUGCAUCUAUACCAGGGAGCUUGAAGCACCUGAAACCUAUUAUGUAGUAGGGCUCAUUUGAUGCUGAUGAAACCAGUUGUUUAAGUAUAAGUGAAAAUUUAAUUUUGACCAGCCUGCAUUCUAACAAUAAUUGGGAAUCUUCCAGUUAAAAAGAAUUUCACUGUAAGGACACAGUCUUAAAAAAUGCCAAGUUCUCUUAUAACAAAUAUCAUGGGUUUAAUUUUCUCUGUUUUCUGCAGGAAAUAAUCAGAAAUCUACCACCUUUUCCACAAAGAACCUGUUUACAGGUAUUUACUGAAGGUGCCACCAUUUCUUUCCAUUAGUUAGUGUAUCCCAGGCUUCUAAGAAACCUGAUAUUUGGGUGCACAUAGGAAUGAUAAUAUCAGUGGUAUGAAAAAUUGUCAGUAACAACUGUUCAAAGAAGUGGAAUAUGUAAAAUUUCAUUCCCCUUGCUUUGCUGAAGUUGAAAUAUGGUAACAAGGAAUCUGACUAGAACCAAUUGCCCUGGAGAUGUAUUGCCAGGAACUCUUUAAGCAGAUUAUUCUGAAACAUGAAAAACAUGAAGGAAUAAUUAAUUUCUUUAGCAAUGAGGAUGGAUCUAGUAGUGAGAAUAUUAAUAAAUGAUCCAUCUCUACAUAAGCUUUUUAAUUUGAAUUUAUUAUGUGGAUUAAAAUAUGGCUAACUAAAAUAAUCUCCUCUCCAAAGAGGAUGCAAAUAAUGACAGAUGCCAUCGCUAUACAACAGAAAUUAUUCGGAUCACUGUUGCUCUGAUGUUGUUGUACUCAAACAUCAAAACCAUUAAUAGGGAAGAACAAUGCUUCCAUAUGGAUUGUAUACCAGACAAAUGGCUAAAUGUUUCUUCCACUAGUAACAGUUGUUAGAAUCAAUAUCAGGCAAAUGAAAAUACUUUCCUUAAAAUAUGUGAUCCUUUCAAGAAGUGUGAACCAACACACAGGCUCUUCUUAUCAGGCUUAAUAACUACCAAUCUUUGACAACCUCCUGGAGUUUUUCAAAUAACUUUUUGAACUUAUGUAUGCUUUUUGUUUCAGCGAUAUCUUGUAGUUCUAAAUUUCAGGUAUUAAACACGAGUUUUUUUGUUUCACUUUAUAUGUGUUGCCUGAGCAUUUAAUGGGGCAUCCACUAGUUCUAAUUUAAUGACAAACCACAGACCAUUCCAUCUUCUUGCUCUUUUUGUUGAAUAGUAGGUAACCUAACAAGAUCAGUGAUGAUAAAGCUAGAGUGGUAGAGUGAGACCACUAGCUAAGACUAAGUACUCAGUAUAGUGAGCUAUGGAGAAGCUGCUAACUACUUAGGCAGCUUAAAAGCUUUGUAUUUGAUCUCUUGAAACUGGGGUAUGCCAAAAUGAAAGGCCAUGUUAGAUAAUGUGAAGCUUCAUAUUUUCUGUUAAACAGCAAAGCCUUAACACAAGGACAACACAUAUAUUCUCAGGUAUUGAGAAUAUACGUGUUAGGCCCCAAAAGAGCCAAAAUUGGUUGAAUGCAACCAAUUUUUAAUGAGGAUAAAAUAAAUAAGGAUAAAUAAAUAAGAAUAAAUAAAACUCAUGUGUGCUCCAUUUUUAUGAAGUUCAAAGGCGCUCAAAAGCUAAUUGACAUCUCUCUUAAAUUCAUAUUUAGUUAGCUUUCUCCUCAAAAUAUCUCCAAAUACUAAAGAAGUAAAAGUGAGGAAUAUCUUUGUGCAUCAGUUGGACCAGAUGUUUCUGUGUACAUGUGGCCAUAAUGCAGAUAUGUGCAAAAAUAGCUUAAAUUCUGACAUUUGUAGACAGUACAUCUACUCCUCUAAAUGCCUUGGUGCAGGAAAACUCCAAAGAGAUUGUGCUUUUUCCCCAGAAGAGAUGCAGGGAAAUGAUGAACUUUAACACAUCAGUUAUAAUUGUACUGUAGAUUACUAGAAAACUUCCCUCUUCUGGCAUCUUCCCCUCACAUUAACAGGCGUUCCUAAGGAAAUAAAUCUCCAAUAAGUAAGAACUUCACAGCAGAAAACAUACAUAUAAAUAUAUAUAUAUAUAUAAAGACAUGUUUUUCCUCCAACUUUUGCCCCUGACUCCAAAUACAGUACAUGGUAUCCGCUUUCUGUACAGAUGUUUUCCCAUGCAAUGGCACUUAAUAUGGUAUUCCAGAGAGAAAUUAUGGCUUCCCUUUUUUUCUGCAUGGGAAAAUGGAGAUAGAAAUGUAUAUUUUAAGAUCACGAAAGGACUCCCAUUAAUUUAUGCAGAAAAAUUACAGUACCCAGAUAUACUAUUAGAGCACUAAAAUUAAAUAUUAUUGUUAUAAAUCAUCAUUUCACAUGUUUCAUGAUAGCAAGUUCUGAUGAACUCCCAGCUGUAUUCUUCCCUUCCAAAUAAAACCUAAAGAAAGUAAAAAACCAGGAGGCUUUGGAGGGUUUAUUUGUUGUUUCAUUUAGAGACCAUUUUAGGAAAAUCCUACAGCAAGCACUAGGUGUACUAUGUAGUUAAGCUUAGAAUGUGUUGCUUCUUGAAAACUGGUGUCUUAUAUAAUAAAGAAUAAGUUUUAAAGUUUUUUUUU